AUUGAACGCUGGCGGCAUGCUUUACACAUGCAAGUCGAACGGUAACAGGCCUUCGGGCGCUGACGAGUGGCGAACGGGUGAGUAAUGCAUCGGAACGUGCCCAGAGGUGGGGGAUAACGCAGCGAAAGCUGUGCUAAUACCGCAUACGAUCUAUGGAUGAAAGCGGGGGACCUAAGGCCUCGCGCGAAUUGGAGCGGCCGAUGUCAGAUUAGCUAGUUGGUGGGGUAAAGGCCCACCAAGGCGACGAUCUGUAGCUGGUCUGAGAGGACGACCAGCCACACUGGAACUGAGACACGGUCCAGACUCCUACGGAGGCAGCAGUGGGGAAUUUUGGACAAUGGACGAAAGUCUGAUCCAGCCAUGCCGCGUGCGGGAAGAAGGCCUU
rnacentral:rRNA from 1 species